UUGUUCAACCUCAAAAGUAGCUGGCUCAAAACUUUCUAGACCAUCGGAAACAAUGAAGAGAAAUAUCCCUGUCAUUGAUGAAUCCGUUGCGGAGGACGUAGCGGAAAUUUCUUCCACCGCUAUGACCACAGUGGCCCCAAAUGCACAAAUAACUGCAAAAAGACUACGCCAUGAGCUGGAGAUGGCCAAACAAAACGUGGCAGCAGGAGAUGCUCAAGGAAGUGACCAAGGAGAGAGACUUUCUAAGGGAACAACUGGCUAUGACAAUAAAAUAGGACAAGGGCGUUCCAUCAGAGGACAGCACAAGUCCCUUACAGCAAACCACUUCCGCCGCUUCAGCUACUUUCUCUUCUGAUUCCUCCGACUCGUCAUC